CGCCGUUAUCGUCCAUGCAAUCGAAGUGCCUCCUAUCUUACGGCGACCGAAAUGUCGUCGUCCCUUUCGACGAGCCGUGGACGGGGCGGAAUUUAAUUGACCAUUUAAAGCAGAUGGACAUAUUCGCCGAAGUUGAGGCCUCUACCAUCGGCUUAACGCGUUUUGACGAGGACUUCCAAGUGUUUGUGGACAUAACGGAAGCGGAUGUGAUAGAAAAUAAAGCAAAAAUAAAAGUCCGAAC